rnacentral:rRNA from 1 species
UACGAAGGGGGCUAGCGUUGUGCGGAAUUACUGGGCGUAAAGGGCGCGUAGGCGGCCUCGUCCGUCCGGCGUGAAAUGCCUGGGCUUAACCUAGGAAUUGCGCUCGAUACAGCGAGGCUUGAGUGUGGAAGAGGGUCGUGGAAUUCCCAGUGUAGAGGUGAAAUUCGUAGAUAUUGGGAAGAACACCGGUGGCGAAGGCGGCGACCUGGUCCAUUACUGACGCUGAGGCGCGAAAGCGUGGGGAGCAAACAGG